rnacentral:lncRNA from 1 species
CUUUUUGAAAAGUUAUCAUCACUACCCACUCCCACCACCAACUCCCUGCAAAAAUCAUGCAGUAGCACACCCACUGAUAUACUUCACCCAUCCCCUUCCACUUCUACUCAAUCUCCCACCCACUUCUCACAAAUCCCUCGCAAAAACGAAUGGAAACUCAACUUCAGGAGCAAGCUUUUUCAGAAUGUACAUCAAGCUCAUCUCCCUCACCUAUUUUCAGCACACACAAUUGAGCAUCCCUCUCGAUCAAGGUUUUUACUCUCCAAAUUCUAAGUUGUUUCAAAUUACGGAUUACACUUUCAUGUACCUCUUUCAUGACUUGUUUUAGACAAAGGCACCACAACAACCCAUCCACUGGACUGAAUAAAGAAAUGAACUUUACAUAUGCAUAUAUCUUUGUAUAUCUUCCCAUAUAUGUGUUUAAGCAAAAGUAUCAAAUGUUUUUACAAUUGAGAAUAAAGCAAUGAGAUAGAUAUUGAUAAACAAGCAUGCUUCAAACUUGAGUUUUGAGCUUUGUCGGGUGUGGACUGUGUGGUUGUAAGUGUCGAAUCUGGCGGGGGAGUAAUGGCGAUGGCAGCGGCGGCCCUUUGCUGCUGCUCGCCGGAGUCAGAAUCGGGUAGAGUCGGCGGUGGCUCGUUGCUGCCGUCUCAGUAAGAACAGAAGGGAAAUGGGCGGCGGUGGUGGCAGCUUGGUGGCUGCUACUCGCUGGGAAUUUGAGGGCGGCGAUGGCGGUGCCAUCGGCCAAGGUUGAGCAGAGGAGAGGGAGGAGCGUCGGCGGCGGCGACCAGCUGCUGGUCGUGGCAGCCGGAAGUUUCAGAGAGGGAGGGGUGUGCUGACGGUGGUGGCGUGGAGCCAUUGACCGCGGCUGCCGGACCUAGAACAGGGGGAGUUAAGAGAGCAGAGGGAGUUCAGGGAGGCGGCAGCCUUGCUGUUGCUGUCGCCAAGGAGGAGAGAGAGAGGGGUGAUGGCCGGCGGCCUUGGUGCCGUCGACUUGAGGAGGGAGAGCCGAGCGUCGUCAGCGGCUGUCGCUGUUGCUCUGGCAAGCUUCGGCGGCGGCGGCAGCGGAAUUUCGAGGGAGACUUGAGGUGAGGAAAGGAGAGAGGUCGAAGUAAAGGAGAGAGGAGGCGGAGCCGCCGGCCUCCGGGGACGGCGCUGCCGUCCGGUAGCGGCGGCAGGAGAGCGCAGAGGGCGAGAGAGAGUGAGCGCCGCUGAGAGAGAUUAGUGAGUGUGUGCGUGUGUUAGGUGGAGAAGAAGGGAGGGAGUUUUGGGCUAGGCUAGGUUUGGGCUUGGGAGUGUUGGGCUUAGGUUUGGGUUGAAUCAGUUGGGCUUUUGUUUUAAUCUCUUUGGGCCGAUUUUUAUGAGUGAUGGGCUUCGAUUUUUAAAUAGAUUUGGGCUGCGAUUUUUAAAAAAAGCUUGGGCCGAUUUUUAAUUUUAUUUAGCUGGGCCCGAUUUAUUUUAUUCAGUCUGGGCCAUUCAUAUUUUAUUGAGUUGGGCCUCAUCUUUUAAAUUUAUAUGGGCUAUUAUUUAUUUAAGCAUGAGCUCUAUUUCAUCUAUUUAAAUGGCUUCCCUAUUUUAUUUAAUUAGACUAUUAAUUAGUUUGAUUAAUUAUUUUUAAAGACUUUGGAUUGCCUUCAAUUAAUUAAAUUGGGCUUUCUUAUUUUUAAUUAAUUGAACUAUUAUUAGUUUGAUUAAUUUAUUUAAAGGAUAAUUUUUAUAAUAAUAUUAAAUUAUUAUUAAGUGCAUAUUUUAAGUAAUUACUUAUCAUAUGCUAAGCAUGACAUGACAUUUCAUUUGCAUCAUGAAAUAAAAAGUAUUUAUGAUUUAAUUGGUUUUAUUUAUAAUUCCAAUUAUUAAAGAAAGAUGAGUAAGAAUAUUGUUGGUGUUCUUAACUCAAGAGAAAUGUUUUCAAUUAUUUAUUCAUUAAAAACCCGGCUAAGUGAAUCAUAGAAUAUUAAGCACUACACCAUGAAUUAAGAUUAGCUUCACGAGACCUAUUAAGAAUAGAAUUUCUUGUAGGCUUUGUGACCAGGGGGAUUAGCGCUGCUUUCCCAAGACAGGUUUAUAAGUGAUUAUGAUCUUCAGGCUUUGCCUAACCAGGUGGGCAUUACUUUUACUAUACGUAUAUAGAGAUCCCCUGCGUGUCGUAGGCCUCUUAUACGAAUAUAUGCAUGAGAUGAUUUUAACUGUUAAUUUCAGUUUAUUAUUAUGCCCAAAUGAUAAAUGACUCUUAUGAAAUAAAAAUGAAAUGUUUAUGAAAUGAAAUGAAAUGUUUAUGUUUUUAUAUGUAUCCUAUCUGUGUUGGUUCGCCAACUUUAAAGGAAAUCCAAUUGGGAUCCUAUGCUAGACAAAGGUCGCUAGCUAGGGUUAACGUGUACACUUAUGGAGACCGCGAGUCGCUUGCGACCGGUCUUGGCGUCCGUGGUAAGGAGGCCUCCUUCCCGGCGCGUGACAGAAAGGAACAGAUAUGGAUCAUAUGAAGGAAAAUGAUCGGCCGAUCGACUUUAUGAAAAUGAAAGAAAUAUUUUAGUAAGCGCAGGUCAUUUAAGAAAACCCCUGUGUGUUACUGUUAUGGCAGUUCAAUUUAUAUAUGUAUGCAUGUUGUAUUUUCGGCUAUGCCCACUGAGUAUUUUUAUACUCAGCCCUGCAUGUAUUUCUAAAUGUGCAGGUUGAGCAGUUGAUGGAAUGGAAUGAUGUUGAGCGGGUGUUCCUUUGACAUUUCAAGAAAUGUAACCUUGAGUAUACAUCUUCAUAUGUAUAUCUCACACGUUUUCCGCUGCAAAACACUUUGAUUAA